AUUGAACGCUGGCGACAGGCCUAACACAUGCCAGUCGAGCGGAUGAAGGGAGCUUGCUCCUGGAUUCAGCGGCGGACGGGUGAGUAAUGCCUAGGAAUCUGCCUGGUAGUGGGGGAUAACGUCCGGAAACGGGCGCUAAUACCGCAUACGUCCUGAGGGAGAAAGUGGGGGAUCUUCGGACCUCACGCUAUCAGAUGAGCCUAGGUCGGAUUAGCUAGUUGGUGGGGUAAAGGCCUACCAAGGCGACGAUCCGUAACUGGUCUGAGAGGAUGAUCAGUCACACUGGAACUGAGACACGGUCCAGACUCCUACGGGAGGCAGCAGUGGGGAAUAUUGGACAAUGGGCGAAAGCCUGAUCCAGCCAUGCCGCGUGUGUGAAGAAGGUCUUCGGAUUGUAAAGCACUUUAAGUAGGGAGGAAGGGCAGUAAGUUAAUACCUUGCUGUUUUGACGUUACCAACAGAAUAAGCACCGGCUAACUUCGUG
rnacentral:rRNA from 1 species